CUGGUUCCCAGUAAGGACACAUUUCUAAUGUAUUCUGAGCCAUGUUGACAAAAGACACUUGAUUAGGAAGUCACCAUAGUGGGGAACAUGUUAAAAUCUGUGUGAUUCCCAUCUGUUCUUACAGACUUUUUAAAAUUUGAAUAACUUCUCCAAUGGAUAUGCAUGUAGCUGGCUCAUGUUUUAGACAUUUUAGGCAUUUGUGAUGAUUGUUUAUUUCUCCCUUUAUACACAUCAACCCUACUUCUAUUUUUUUAAUGUAUAUAACACAGGAUCGUGUAUUCUGCUGUGUCAUUUGUGUGGCUUGUCGGUAACCAGGCAUUCGGUACAGUGGAGUCAAAGCUGCAACAUUUUAGAGUUUAACUGAUUGAAAUUCCUUAAAACCUCUUUAACGUAGUGUUUGCUCCAAGAACUAGGGGCUGUCAUCGCACAAAAGCUUGGGUUUUAUGCAAAUGACUUUUUUGUGAGUCUUUAUACUAUUUAGUAAUGUUGGUAAUAAGGUAUAUUUUGAAUAAGCCUUCAGUGGAAGCUGCUGAAAGAUUAUAGUUUUUUUUUUUUCUUUUUUAAAAAACUGGCCCACGUGUUAAAAAAAUUGUCUAAAUUAAUAUUGUCUUUGUAUGCAGAUAAAUGCAAAUAUAUGGCCUUUUAAGACUGUCAUGUCUUACUAAUAACAUUAUUAUAUAAUAAUAUCCCACCUAAGUUUUACUAAUGCUAUAAGCAGGCGAAUGUUGACAUAGUCUUGAGUGGAGGCGAGUAGUUUAUCUUUUCUAACUAUGCAUCAUUUUUAACCAAGAGAUUUAGCAGUGGGUAUCUCACAUGAAUUGGAGUCAUUUCUAGAGGUAGAUAAUCAGGGCUUUUUAUGUUGUUUUUAGCAUAUUGCAUUUAGUAGCGUUUCUUAGUGCUUAUCAACGUCUUCAUACCUUUCUAAUAGGAUGAAGUAUUUAUGUGGUCAUUUGUAACAUUGUAGAUUUUAUAGCCUAUAAAUUGGGUGGAUCCUUUGUAACACACAGUCUUUCCUAGCCAAACAAGAUUAUGAACUUUUACAUGAUGAAUAUUAAAAAAAGAAAUAUAUAUAUAUAAUUAUAUGAAAGCACAAAAGGACAUCUCGAUUCUAGGUGCUAGAUGUUUUCACUGUAAAACACCUUAAAUCCUCACUGGACUGGUCCACAAGUCUCUGUAGUUGCAUGCUAAAAAACAAGUAAGCAUCAUAAUGUUUUGGAUCUUUUCUCUCCCUUUGAUGACCUCUCUAUGGUUCCCUUUGUACUCAUGACCUGUAAAAGCAACUAGAAAUCCGACUGACUGUGUUUGUGGGGCAUUCUGAAAAUUCUGUACUUGAUAUUUACUGUUAUGAUGUCAAUAUUGUUCUUAUCGGUGCUGGUCUCACAACAUGUAAAUUUGGAUGCACUUUUGAUAGCAAUGGUGUGACUUUUAUAGAUAAUCAAUUGAAGCGAGAGGCUCGGCCGUUUUGCGUGACGCCGGCGUAAUUGUGUGGAAAUGGCCGUGUGUACUACCUCUUGUUACCUGUUUUAAGUGUUAUGGUAACAUCACACUGCUGGCCAUUUCUGUAUAAUUACCCCUGCAAUCUAUCUAAUUGGCGCUGUUUGAGUCUUGCAUCUUGACAGAAUAGGUUUUAAACGUUUGCUGUGCUUGAUGGUGAACGUGCUUUCUCAGUUUGUGGUUAAGCGAUUUAUUUUUUAACUUUUUUAAUUUUUCACCCUCAUAGUUUUGCUCAGACUGAUGAGAGAAUGUGUGUUUUGAGUGUUGAGCUGUACGACCAAAUUCCUGAACUGUGUUUGUACCUACACACAGAUUUCCCUGCUUUCUUUCCUUUUAUUCUAUGCACCAAUAAGAAGCAGCAUUUUUUUUAUUUUAUUUCUAUAUUGAAUAAUAACUCCUUUGCUUUUCAGUUGAGCAGUAUGCCAUCAAGUAUGUCACCCAUAUUUGGUCUGAUAAUUUUAUUUCAUUAUUCAAAAGUAGAAGGUACAAAGUAAAUGUACCCAGUUGGUGCUGUGUGUCAGACUAGGGAAGUAAUCUAGAAAAGACUGCCCACGGAUAGAUUGAUAGAGCCUGAAAACUAUCACAUAGUACUUGUUGAUAUCUGUAUGAAAAUGACACAGCCGAAGAUUUAUGUCAAAUUUCACCCCAGAGCAUUUAUUUCUAUGUACAAUCAUGCAUUUAAGUCCUUAUUUAAGCUUUAGGUUUGUUUUGAUCCAGUCAUCUCGGUCAGAGUAGGUGGAUCAGAACAGAUGAAUUAAUCAGGAGAAGCCCAUCUUUGGCUCUGUACUUGGAAAUGUGAAUGUCUUUGUUCCUGUGUGAUUGCAGGCCUUUGUAACGCGACCACAGCUAUCUUCACUUACUCGAAUGUUCAGUUCUUAGACUGUUCCUCAAAGGGACACGUCGGAAUAUAGUGUAAUAGUUGGAAGUCAUUCUCUAGAAGUUAACCGUCAUGUAUUGUUGACAGAUUGAAUCAUUGUUUCCUGUAACAGCACAAACAUCAGAAACUGACUGGCUUGUAACUUUAAGCUGUCUGUUUUUUAAGAGAUGACUUUGAACUUGUUUCCGCUUCUUUACGUUUUACAUUACCUACACCAGCACCUUAUAAAACCUGGUCAAAAUGGCUUUUUUCUCCCUAUACUUAACAAACAAUAUUCGACAGUGUGUUUUGUUUUGUUUUUCUUUGCACUAAACAAAGGACUUAGAGCUAGUCAUGUAUUGAGAGUGUUUAUCAGGGGGCAGGCUGGCAGCCUGGAUUUUUGGAUUUUGGUGGCUUUUCAAAAUAAAAGAUGCACAGUCAACAAGUGUCGCCAAUCAUAGGCAGGAGAUUUGCGGGGGGUUUGUAGCCGGCGCAUCAAUGCCACAGUGUUUGAGUAUUAAGGUUUGACACGGCUGUGACAGCCAUGUGCACAUUAAGUUGUUCUUAGUAAGGCCUCUUUUUCUCUAAAAUCGCUACAAACUACACAUAUCACAACUCAGAAGAGGCUUUUCCUUUUUCACAUAAAUCAUCUUCGUCACAAUAGAACAGAAUACUUUAUUGUGACUGUUACAAGAACAAUGAAAUACAGUAUGAGCUCAGUCAAGAAUGUUUAACAGACCAAUACUUGUAGCCUGGAUGAAUGUGGCAAUGCUUUUCAAGUAAAGUGGAGCAGUGAGGCUUUCAGAACAGCUGUAGUGCUGCCCCUAAAAACAUUCUCAAACAAGGCAAUUAAAUGCACACAUUCACCUCACUUUGGCUGUUUUCCCAUUAUCUUUCGGAGCGGCCAAAACGCGGAUAAAGCAAGUUUUAGAAAUAGCUUUUUCGUAAACUAAAUGGCAUAUCAUAAGCUAUUUUAAUCAGCAAAUUAUUUUCUCAUAAUUUUCUUUAGUUUUUAAGAGGUAAUGAUAACAUUUCUCCAAAUGGUAACCAUCAGCCUUUGCGUUUUUGUUUGUUUGUUUUUAUUAAUAGUAUUCUUUUUAAUUUAUUUUCAUUUUUUUUAAUGGUCAUGGAGUACAAAAUUAAAGCCGGCUUUCUAAUGAAGCAGUCCCCUUACAUGAAUUAAUUCCAUACCAUUACCCUCUGUAUAGUAAUGUCUCCUCUUUCUGUCGCUUAUCUGUCUCUUGUGGAGAAAAUCUUGCUGUUAUAAAGAGAUCUCUUGUAGAGUAGAUCCUAUUUUCCUAGCUCCAUAUAUUAAAAAUGAAUGUAAUUAGAACCUGCGUGGUUUGUAAUGUUGUAUAGGCUAUCCAUCCAGUACAUUUAUACUCAUCUUUGCAUCUUAUGUACAGCCUUUUCUUUCUGUUUUCUUCUCUUUAUUUAUAGGCUUUAUUAAUUCCAGAAAGUAUUGUUUUCUUCUUCUCAGUCAUUUAAAUAUUGCUCAUGUCACAGACCAUAUAAUCUUUUUAUUUUUAUUCUUUCUGAUAUGAAAUGAAAGUAGUAAUUUCACAGUUGUGCUGUCUUUCUCUGGAUGUUGGCUACUGUACUUUUAGGAGACAUAUGUUUCACACUGGUGCAAAGAGUAGCCAUCCUUUGAGUCCUGGCAUCAUACUUGUGUGAGGUGCUAAAACAUAAGCGCUUUGUGUGUAUAUUAGGUGGUUUGCGUAGGUGUGUGAUCUCAUUUGCUGUUCGAUUUUAAACGUAUGCUUAAGCCCUCGGGUCUCGUAUUCCUGUCCAGCCCCUACAGAGCUGUCUUGUAAAAUCCUCCCUGAAUUAUUACAUUAAUUAGUGCAGUGCCACAUAAAUGCAGAGAAGCUUUUUGUUUUAAGUGUUACUUCUGUUCCUUUUUUCAUUUGUAUUGCUACACAGCUGGGUUUUUUGUUUUGUUUAGUUUUUUAGUUGUUGUUUUUUUUUUUUUUUUUUAGAUCUAUAACUGACCUAUAUAUACAUGGCAUAUACAUAACAUCCCGUUCCUGUGUGACAUAGAUUUUUUUUUUCUAAAUAAGCAUCACUUUUUGUCUCUGACAGUUAUGCCAAUGUCCACUCAAUUAUCUGUAACCAUUUGCUGCCCGUUUGGUAUCCAUAAAGUUUGCCUGUAUUCUUGUUUUAGCUACAAGUGUCAACAAUUAGUAUAAAUUCCAGUGGUGUACCAAUAAGGAAAGACCUGUUCAAUUCCAUUGGAUGCAGCUGUUUCAUUCACUUUACCUUGGAUGUGUUUAAGACAUCAGUCACACAGGCCUAGAGACCAGUUGGGGACUGCCUGGCAACCAUUUUUCAAUGUGGUUGCUGGAAGUUUCUUUUUCUUUGUUUUUUGUUUUGUUUUUUGCGGUCACUAGGUCAAGUUGGCUGCAAAGGGGUAUACAGCCCUAAGCCAAAAUUCUCCUUGUUUUGGUUGCUAGCACAUUUCCAUGGUCGCUUCUAGUUUGCAUGGGAGAUGCCAACUUGUCUGCAAACACUUAGCAACCACCACCAAGCAGUAGUGAAACUGUGAAAAGUGCGACACAAACUGGAAAUGGUGCUGGUUUGCCAUCAAAGCAAAAGAUGUGACUUUUAAAACGUGUUGGUUUCAGCUAAAAUUUCACUUUUACUAUGACAGUUUUUGUUUUGCAUUGCACUUUUCACAGUUUCACUACUACUCAGUGGUUAAUUGGCAAGUGUUUGCAGACAAGUUGGAAUGUUCCAUGCAAAAUAUAGGCAACCAAACUAUUCACUAGAAAGGUUUUGGUGACAGCCAGGAACUUCCAGCAACCACUUAACAACUAGUUAGGAAUAAACAUUGUUCCCUGGCCACUUGAGGUUUCCAGGGAUCGCCAACCACUCUCUAGACCUGUGUGACUGAAGCCAAAGAAACGGGAAUGCAAGAUUACAGUGUUGGCCGUACUACUUUGUUUCUAAUUAAACAUCUAGUGGAAAAAUGGCCAGGAAAAUGUCUUGAUCAUAAAAGGAUCAAUCCCAGUCAUUUUGUUAGCACUUGAAUUUUCUUUAUCCACGGAAUAUUUUAAUGUCAAGUAGAUGGUUUGGUAUGCUCGAACUGCACUUUUUUAAAUCAUUGCCUGCUGGAUGCCAUUUUAUCCUAAUUUCUUGUCUAUAAAUUCUAAUUGAAUAUAGCUAUUUAUGUGCAUUCACAAGUGAACUUCUAAGCUCCUCUGGCAACCAGCAGGGUGCAGAAAAGCACACAGUAAUCUGGCAGCUGUGGCAUUGACAGGUGACACAUCUGCAUCCAGGUGGCUAUUCAGGGUUAGGCUGGAUGACGUAGUAAAUCAGAUCUAGACUGAGGAGAGCCGUUACAGAACUUAACCAAGCCAUCACCAUUAAGCUGAACUAUAUGAAUCCAAUCAUGCAAGACUUGUGGGUAUUUUUUAUUUGUAUUUUUCCAAGCAUUUUUAGUCUUGUGAACGACUUGGCUUUUUAUUUACUGACUUGGAUAAAACUACCUCAGAGCAGUGUCGGGUGCUAGCUAAUAUUAUCCCUAAUUUAUGAGUGACAACAAAAUGAAGAAAUUGUAGUGACCAAACCAAUGAAAGCCAAUAUCACAUCAAAGCACUGUCUGUUUUGGGGGGUUUUCACCCUUAAUAAGUAAUCCUGCAUGGACUGGUUGGUUGCUUUAGUUGGUUACAUUUUACCGGACCAAAUUUUUUUACUAUCGGGAGUCUCAUUGUUUUUAAUGUGAGUCGAUGAAGACAGCCAAGCACAAUCUAGGACUCGUUCACGUGUAAUGCUAACUAUAAAAGAUGUCUGGAUCUUUUAAAAGGUGCCAUCGUAAUUGCUAAUUCAUGACAUGUUGAUAAUCCAGCAAAACCUGUUGAUUUUAAAAAGACGUUUGUAGUGGCGACGAAGGUUUGUGGAAAAGAUGUAUGCACAGCAAUAAAUUUCCUGAGCGUGGGCUGCAGAUUGUUGGUGUUUUUUCUUUUUCUUUUUAAACCAGUCUGUCCACUGUGGGCAGGCUUUUAGUUGGCAAGACAAAUGCCUGUGAGAUCAGACAAACUUAGUCUCAAUUUAUGGAACCAGCUUCUUUUUCAGUUUUUGUUUUGCCAGCAAGUUUAGAAAUAUCAAGGCUUCUUAGUGAACAGAGCCACGCUGUUACCACAUGCCUACAUUUUUUUCAACCCAAACUGCAAUAAAAUCCAGAGUGGAUUUCCCCAUCUGGUACUCGCCACACUCAAUGCCAUUAUUUUUUAUUAUUAUUAUUAUUAUUAUUAUUAUUAUUAUUUUUCAUUAACAAAGGGAAAAUCCACAUCUGAAUACACUUCACACAAAGAAAAAGAAUUGAAAUCCGACGGAAGGCACACGCGAGGUCGUGUGUGGUUGUUGAGUACAGGUCGUAGCCUUUUGUCGGAUCUCUCUCUCUCUCUCUCGGGUUUUGUGAGUCCUUUCAAAAUAAAGUUUUGACUAAAAUCUGUCAUGCCGCAUAAAAAGUAAAAAAGAAAAAAAAGUUUUAACUACCAUGCAACCUCGUGUGUAGAUGCUGCAUAGAACGAUCAGUAUUUGUGUUUUGCACUUUCAAAGCGGUCUCAAGAAAAAAAAAAAAGAAAAAAAAAGGAGGCCCAUCUGAGAUUGGGCUGAUAAUAAGAAUAAAACUGACGAGGUAUUUUACGCUAUCAAUAGGAAUUAUAAGGAAUAAUAUGACUCGGAGGAGCUUUUCUAAAAACAUUGAUAUAUCUAUAUAUUCAUGAAGUACCUCAUAAGCCUGAUAUAUGCUGCAUUGACCUUUUUUUGUUUUGUUUUGUUCUUUUAGUGUGCUUCAUAUUGUCCAGUAACAUAAUUUUCCCCUCUAGGGGAGGUUUGAAUGUCACUUCAGGCUGUGCCCACGCUGAUAGCUCUUCUUGUAACAUGUUACACCAUGUGGCCAAAUAACGUGUCAUUUAUGCAAGUCAUAAUGUCAAUCAGAAUAUUCCUCGUCUCAUUUCUGCGUCCUUUUCUAUUUUAUUUUAUCCUUUUUUUUUUGGCAUCUUCCCUGCAUGUGCGUAGCCAAAAAGGAAAAAAAAAGAUUGGGUUCAGUUAACCAAGGGUUGACGUGCACCGAGCAGCUGUGGUAAAGCGCGACUGUUGACUCAGGCACUGACAUGUAAGGGCUGUAUCUGCUCACCCUGUCCUCCACCCCUCCAUCCCAUCCCGUGCACUUCCCUCCUCCACCCUGACACCCUUUGUCUUAAAAUAGCCUUAGAUCUACAAGUGAGGUUCCUAUUUGGCCUUAAACAAAUUAUGCACUACAGUUUCACAGACUUGACAAAGAGCUCGAUUCCAAUUUAGACACGCUUUCUUUUAAGACUUCAUGUUAUCUACCUCCUGAGAAUGUACAGUCUGUCCUGGAGUUGCAGUUGACUACAAAACUUUUUUGUUGUUGUUUUCUGACAGAAGAUAAUCAAAAUUGAUACAAAAUUAACUCAGAACUAAUACCAGGACACUCCUUUUUUUUCUUUUCUUUCUUAUAAUUAUAAGCCAUGACAGAGAAGCAAAGUGACCAAAGUCUCUUGGCAGAGGUAGCCCUGCAAAGCCGCGUGAAUUCAAACCUCCCUUUCCUCCUGUCAUUUUGAGCUCACUUAUAUUUUGCAUAUAUUUUAGUUUCUCUAUCUCUUUUACUCCCUUAUUUAAACCACAACAUGCCAAAACUGAAUUUGCUGUCAUUCCUGUUCUGGUGAGGGUCUUUUGCUCAUUUCAUAUGUUUCAAAUCCACUGCUAAGCUCCUUGUUCUUGUUAUUGUAAGCUUUGAUUUCUCUUAUACGUUUUCUUUUUUUUUUUCUUUUUGUAACAAUUAUGCUUACAGAACACAAGAUAUGCUGUAAACCCUGUUAGGACAUAAUGUGAAUACGUAUCACUUAAUAUAGUUCGCUCUUUGGCUUGACUGUAAAUUGCAUUAAUUAAUAAAAAUGUUUGAAAAAGGUUUUCUGCUGCGUUGUCACUUGAUGUUUUCAUUCCUGUAUUUUCA
ensembl:lncRNA